rnacentral:lncRNA from 1 species
AUUAUAGAAUCAAAAUAUUUCAUCCCAUUCAUCUUUUUGGCUAAUUCUUAACUAAAAACAUAUAUUUUUUUUCUUCAUGUGUUUAGCUUCUGAGUGAGGAGGAGUGUCAUCGGAUAUUAAGUCCUUACAAGAAAGUUGUUGAGUGGAUGGAAGGUACAAAGAAGGCAACUGCACCUCAUUUUGAUGAAGUUCAUGAGUUUCUCUUUAAAGCCCAGAAAAGAUUUCGAGAGCAGACAUCAAAAAAAGAAUCUGGGAAAAACGAAUUUAAGUCAAAGCUGUAAAAUCAAACAUAAUCUUCGAAAGUCGUUUGAUUUCUGUAUAAUGUUGCUAUAUGAAGUGUAUUAAGUUGAAAUAAACCAUUACAGAGAUUAUGUAAUGUAAUCAUCGUUACAUUUUAAUUACCUGGAUUUCAUAUAAAGUAUAUGGAUCAAUGGUAUUAUUGUACAAGUAAGUAGUCAACGCAUUAAAUACUAAUUUAAACUCAUGCUGACGAUUGCGUUGUUAAUCAUAAAGAGGUGAAAUAUUGUUUAUUUGAGUUGAAAUUUUUUACAACUCCCAAGAUUAACAUGGUGCUGAAGGUCUUUGCUGAUCGGAUUUCCCAACCAUCUCGUGCAAUUCUCAUCUUCUGCAAGUAUAUUUAUUAUCUUCUUCCUCGUUUCGUUAGUUUAGUAAAUUACUUACAAAUUCCUUCUCUUUGAUCGGAUUGUAAAUAAAUACCAACCGCUUUGGUCAUUGACUUGUGAUCGACUGCAAGUAUUGAUCUUUAAUAGGGUUCGCUGGCUGUUGAAUUGAAUUUGUCCUUCCAAUUCUAUACUCGAGGGUUUCUUUCAUCAGCAAGGAUUCUAUUAAUCUGUACAAAUUGAGUUGCUUUUCUAUUAGUAUUACUGUUAAAGCGAUCUUUAUGUUCUACUUUGUCUUUUACUUUGGGUUUAUUGUUAAAUUGAUACUUAAUAAUCCUAUAUUAGCGUUGUGUUAUGUGUUUCUUUUUAUGCACAACUUAUAUUCUCUCUGAUUAUGCUUCUCUAAAUUCAUCAUUCUUGUGGCUUUUAUCGAUGUUAUCUGAAGAAAAAAUGGGAUAGAUUUUGAGGAAAUCCGAGUAGAUGUCUUCAAAAACCAGCAAUUCACCCCUGAAUACAAAGGUCUGUUUGAUACCAUCUGCACUGAUUUUGUAUCAAAUCCUCUGCAUAUUUAGUCAACAUCUACCAAUGGCAAAGUAUAAGGUUACGUAUUGAUAUUAUUACUAAAAGAAUGUAAAUACAUUGCUCUUUUAUGCAGCAAUAAAUCCUAUGUCUCAAGUUCCAGCAAUAGUUAAUGGACGUUUCAAGCUGUUUGAAAGGUUGUUUCUGUUUAUGAAUUAAAAGUCCUUAUUCUAUUUGGACUCAUUUAUUUUAUGCUGUAAAUAAACUCGUUUGUUUCACUUUAACAAUGUGAAAUGUUGUGAUUUUCAGUCAUGCAAUUCUUAUCUACUUAUCUUGUGCAUUUCCAGGAGUUGCUAGUCAUUGGUAAAUCAGUUUUUUUCUCCUUCUGUAUCUUGAUACAAAUUCUAAACUUUAUUUUAAAUGAUUAUUAACUUAUUAGAUGAAUAGGUAUCCUGGUGAUGUAUCCAAAAGAGCUAAAAUCCAUUCUGUUUUGGAUUGGCAUCAUUCCAAUUUACGCCGUGGGACAGGUGAUAUGUAGUUUAUUUAUUUAUUUUUAAAAAAUAUAUUUUAACCUAAAUCAUAACAUUUUAAACAACAGAUUUAUCGGACAAUGAUCUUAUCAUAUAUGCUCCUUUUCUACUUUCAGUUGGACUUGUUUUCAACACUAUCUUGGCACCACAAAUUGGCCUCCCUUCAAACCUUCAAACAGCCAAGGAAUCCGAGAAGUUACUCAUGAAAUCGCUGACUAAAUUAGAAAACUUUUGGCUAAAAGAUGGAAGCUUUUUGGUUGGAAGUUCUCAACUAUCAAUAGCAGAUCUUAGUUUAGUAUGUGAAAUCAUGCAACUUGAGGUAAUCAUAUAUUGUAGAGUCAAAAUAUUUCAUCACGUUCAUCUUUUUGGCUAAUUCUUAACUAAAAACAUAAAUUUUUUCAUGUGUUUAGCUUCUGAGUGAGACAGAUUGUAAUCGGAUAUUAAGCCCUUACAAGAAAGUUGUUCAGUGGAUGGCAGAUACAAAGAAGGCAACUGCACCUCAUUUUGAUGAAGUUCAUGAGUUUCUCUUUAAAGCCCAGAAAAGAUUUCGAGAGCAGACAUCAAAAGAAUCUGAGAAAGAUGAAUUGAAGUCCAAGUUGUAAAAUUAAACAUAAUCUUUAUCUUGGUAAAGACUAAAAUCGUUUUAUUUCUGUAUAAUUAAUUCACCACGUAAUGUUGUUAUGUGAACUGUAUUAAGUUGAAAUAAACCAUUAAUGAGAGAUUAUGUAAUGUAAUCAUCGUUACAUUUUAAUUACCUGGAUUUCAUAUAAAGUAUCGAAGAAUACAGGUGAUGGUGUUAUAUAUUCCUACACUUUUUCCUAACCCACAUUUGAUAAAAAUAAGAAUAAAAAAAAGUGAUGUUAUUUUAGGUUUAGGAGAAUACAUUAUUAGUAUCGUACAAGUGGUGUGGAGCAUUAAAUACUAAUUUAAACUCAUGCUGACGAUUACUUUGUUAAUCAUAAAGAGGUGAAAGAUUGUUUAUUGGAGUUGAAAUUUUUUGCAACUCCGAAGAUUCAGUCUGUGCUCGAAAAACAUGGCGCUGAAGGUAUAUGCUGAUCGGAUGUCCCAACCAUCUCGUGCAGUUCUCAUCUUCUGCAAGUAUGUUAAUUAUCUUCUUCCUCGUUUCCAUAAUUUAGUAAAUUACUUACAAAUUCAUGCUUUUUGAUCGGAUUCUAAAUAAAUACCAACCGCUUUUGUGAUCGACUGCAAGUAUUGAAGCGAUUACUUGAUUGCUCAGGCUUACUGUGAUCUUUAAUCGGAUUCUCUGGUUGUUGAAUUGAAAUUCGUCCUUCAAAGGAUAAACCCCUUUUCUAUUAAUCUGUGCAAAUUGAGUUGGUUUAUUGUUAAAUUGAUACUUAAUCCUAUUCGGGUUGUGUUUUGUGUUUCUUUUUAUGCACAAGUUAUAUUCUAUCUGAUUAUGCUUGUCUAAAUUCAUCAUUCUUAUUAUGGCUUUUUCCGAAGAAAAAAUGGGAUAGAUUUUGAGGAAAUCCGAGUAGAUGUCUUGAGGAACGAGCAAUUCACCCCUGAAUACAAAGGUAAUUGUUUCUGAUUUUGUAUCAAAUCCUGCAUAUUUAGUCAAAAAAGUAGACAUAUUGAUAUUAUUACUAAAAGAAUGUAAAUACAUUGCUCUUAUUUUAAUUUUUAUGCAGCAAUAAAUCCAAUGUCUCAAGUUCCAGCAAUAGUUGAUGGAGGUUUCAAGCUGUUUGAAAGGUUGUUUCUGUUUAUGAUUUGAAAGUCCUUAUUCUAUUUGGAUUCAUUUAUUUUAUGCUGUAAAUAAACUCAAAAUGUUGUGAUUUUCAGUCAUGCGAUUCUUAUCUACUUAUCUUGUGCAUUUCCAGGAGUAGCUAGUCAUUGGUGAGUCAGUUCCAUAUUUUCAUACAAAUUCUUAACUUUNCCAAAGUUGUUGGGUUUGUGUUUUUCCUUUUGAUUUGUUUUAAAUAAAUAAAUAAAUAAACAAACACCACACACACACACACACACACACACACACACACAUAUAUAUAUAUAUAUAUAUAUAUAUAUAUAUAUAAAGAUUAUAAGGUUAUUAACUUAUUAGAUGUAUAGGUAUCCUGGUGAUUUAACCCUAAGAGCUAAAAUCCAUUCUGUUUUGGAUUGGCAUCAUUCAAAUUUACGCCGAGGGACAGGUGAUAAUUAUAUGUUGUUUUUAUUUUUUAUUUUUAUUUUUAAACAACAGAUUUGUUGGAGAAUGAUCUUAUCAUAUAUCAUACUUUUCUACUUUCAGUUGGACUUGUUUUCAACACUAUCUUGGCACCAUUAUUUGGCCUCCCUUCAAAUCUUCAAACAGCCAAGGAAUCUGAGAAGUUACUCAUGAAAUCUUUGAAUAAAUUAGAAACUUUUUGGCUAAAAGAUGGAAGCUUUUUGGUUGGAAGCUCUCAACCAUCAAUAGCAGAUCUAAGUUUAGUAUGUGAAAUCAUGCAACUUCAGGUAACCAUAUUAAAUCAAAGUAGUAGUAUUUCAUUACAUUCAUCCUUUUGGUUAAUCCUUAAUUAAAAUAUAUAUAUAUAUAUAUAUAUAUAUAUAUAUAUAUAUAUUAUGUGUUUAGCUUCUGAGUGAGACGGAUUGUAAUCGGAUAUUAAGCCCUUACAAGAGAGUUGUUGAGUGGAUGGAAGAUACAAAGAAAGCAACUGCACCUCAUUUUGAUGAAGUUCAUGAGUUUCUCUUU